UACGAAGGGGGCUAGCGUUGCUCGGAAUCACUGGGCGUAAAGCGCACGUAGGCGGGUCGUUAAGUCGGGGGUGAAAUCCUGGAGCUCAACUCCAGAACUGCCUUCGAUACUGGCGAUCUUGAGUCUGGGAGAGGUGAGUGGAACUCCGAGUGUAGAGGUGAAAUUCGUAGAUAUUCGGAGGAACACCAGUGGCGAAGGCGGCUCACUGGUCCAUUACUGACGCUGAGGUGCGAAAGCGUGGGGAGCAAACAGG
rnacentral:rRNA from 1 species